CGACCCCAAGUCAGGCGGGGUUACCCGCUGAAUUUAAGCA
rnacentral:rRNA from 1 species